rnacentral:lncRNA from 1 species
AUGAGGACUUAAUUGAACCAUGACUCUAUUGAACUCUUCAAUCCCAAUCCAAUUAGGAGUCAUGAAAUUAAUUAGAUUAAAUUUAAAAUUAAUUAGGACUUAAGAAAAUCCUAAUCUAAUCAGGACUUGUUCAAAUUUCAGCCCCAAGACAAUUAGGACAUUAGAAAUCCUAUUCCAAGUAGGACUCUAAUUUAAUUUGAAAUCCUAAUCCAAUUAGGACUCCAUGAUUUCCACUCCAAGUAGGACUCAUGAUCAAGUCCAAUUAAUUAAAUCCAAUUAAUUAAAUUAAAUUACAAUCCGAUUGCAAUUAUUCCUUCUUCUAGCCACUAACUCUUAGCGGGUUUCCAUUUAUCAAUCUAAUUGAUUAUUUGUGAUUCCUAAUCACAUUCAACCAUUGGAUCGGUCAAUACCUCUAUUGUGUGUGACCCCAUAGGUUCCAUUCUGACUGGUAGUGAGAUAUAUUAUGAUCUCUAUCACAAUAUCAUUGAAAACUCUUUUCAAUGGGUUGAAACAAUUUCAACUCAACUCACUAGGGAUUAUCGACCAUCGAGAUGAUCCCUGUGAGUCUCACCAUCCACCAGUGACACCUAGCAGUAUGUAGUGGCCACCCAGCAGAAUAGAAUGAUGAACCUCUAGGUGCAGUUAUCAUAUGAUACAGUCCUUCUAUCGUGGAUCCCUACAGAUCGGAGGUCAUGGAAAACUCGUCAAACCCCGUCGUCUGUCAUAUGUCUAGAUUUAUUUGACUUGAGUUCGAUAGUGAAAAACUCUUUCUCCACUUUAUAUUUCUGCCCUGGCCAAGGUCUUAGAACUCAGUCUGACAAAUCACAUAGGAUCACUCCUCUUCUAUCAAGGUCGAUAGAUUCCAUGUAAGUGCAUACCCUACUCCUACAGUGAACUUACUGCAGCCAAUCUACACUACAAGGACCCAUAUGGCUAUAGACCAUGUAUACGUGUAGUCAAACUACAAUN